rnacentral:rRNA from 1 species
GAUGAACGCUGGCGGCGUGCCUAAUACAUGCAAGUCGAGCGAACGGACGAGAAGCUUGCUCCUCUGAUGUUAGCGGCGGACGGGUGAGUAACACGUGGAUAACCUGCCUAUAAGACUUGGAUGACUUCGGGAAACCGGUGCUAAUGCUGGAUAAUAUUUUGAACCGCUUGGUUCAAAAGUGAUACACGGUCUUGCUGUCACUUAUAGAUGGUUCCGCGCUGCAUUAGCUAGUUGGUAAGGUAACGCCUUACCAAGGCAACGAUGCGUAGCCGACCUGAGAGGGUGAUCGACCACACUGGAACUGAGACACGGUCCAGACUCCUACGGGAGGCAGCAGUAGGGAAUCUUCCGCAAUGGGCGAAAGCCUGACGGAGCAACACCGCGUGGGUGAAGAAGGUCUUCGGAUCGUAAAACUCUGUUAUUAGGGAAGAACAUAUGUGUAAGUAACUGUGCAUAUCUUGACGGUACCGAAACAGAAAGCCACGGCUAACUUCGUG